GUGUCAGCAGCCGCGGUAAUACGUAGGGGGCAAGCGUUAUCCGGAUUUACUGGGUGUAAAGGGAGCGUAGGUGGUAUGGCAAGUCAGAUGUGAAAGCCCGGGGCUCAACCCCGGGACUGCAUUUGAAACUGUCAGACUAGAGUGCAGGAGAGGUAAGUGGAAUUCCUAGUGUAGCGGUGAAAUGCGUAGAUAUUAGGAGGAACACCAGUGGCGAAGGCGGCUUACUGGACUGUAACUGACACUGAGGCUCGAAAGCGUGGGGAGCAAACAGGAUUAGAAACCCGUGUAGUCC
rnacentral:rRNA from 1 species